AAUACGGGAAUUACGGGAUGAUCGUUGAUGUCACACACACGGUACAGGUCACGGACUUUCACGGGGGAGUGAUUUAACGGGAACCGUAGACAACCGUUGCCGUGGGGGAGGGGCUGGACGGGCAACCGUAUGAAGACCAUGCAGUCUGACCACAUUAGCUGACGGACAAUAAAGAGACACCGUAUAUCUAUAGAGUUUUGCUACUAUAUAAUUAUGUGCCCACUUCAUCAAUGGCUAUACUAAUAAAAAAAAAACAAGGUGUAAAUCUAGUUGAUCAAGACGAGAGUGGAUUAGAGCCACAACCAAAGAGGACCAGAUCUAGAGCUGCUAGUGUCCUGUGUCCUCACUUGCGAUCAGCACAUAUCCAAAUCUAGUUAUUAUACCGUAUUCAGAUACAGACCUGAGUGACCAUGACUUGCCUGGAUAGCUAUAUUCAACUGGAGUUGUACUGUCGACUCGUUAUAAUAAUAAUAAACUUGCACUGUUUUAUAAUAAAUUAUUAUUCUUAAUACUGAUAGGAGGAGGAGGAGGAGGAGCUGGUAAUUGCACAUGCGUAGUAUGAAACCCACAUUUUAAGCGGGAUGAUUGGAGAAGCUGAGGACUUGGAUCUUAAGAGCCUUCACGUUGACGUUGAGCAUGAGAGAGCCGGUUCUCUAGCUUUAUGGAAGGGAAGCCUGUAAGUAUCUGUUCAUGAACCAGCCAAAAAGUGUGUUAAGACAAAUGCUCAUGUGAUCAAUCAAUGACAAUCACGUACUGGGCGUGGAAUCAAAAAUAUGAUGUGUCGUGACAGUGGACAUUACAGGCACCCAUUAACGUGUUGAAAACGACUCGUUGGAGAAUCAGGUAUGUAAUUCUCCUAGAUAAUUAUUAUGAUGAUUUAAUAAUUAUAGGCACAAGAAAAAACAUAAUAGAAUCUCAGGUGAGAUAUUAAUGUCAGUGUUCAAACAUAUAAUAAUGUGCUUGUGUAUUACUAGUACAGUAAUGUUGCAGACGUAAACCAACGUCAGUUCUUAUGAUCGUUCUCAAGGCCUGGAAACUGCUACUAAAUCAUAAAGGUAUCGAUGUCGAUCUCUCAGAUAUGUCAAUUCUGUUAAAUUACCGACCGGCUACCAUGAUCAUACAAGUCAUUGAAAGUGAACAUAAUGAUGGUAAAUAAUACAAGUCAACACUAGGUAGCCUUUAAGUCACUCAUUUUGUGUCCAGCUAGCUGUUGUCUUGUGUUUCUUGUCUUGUUUCUUUCUGAUGCAUGCUGUAUAUAUUUUUGAUUGAACUUUGAA